rnacentral:rRNA from 1 species
UAGUCGCAAGACCAAAGAGGGGGACCUUCGGGCCUCUUGCCAUCGGAUGUGCCCAGAUGGGAUUAGCUUGUUGGUGGGGUAACGGCUCACCAAGGCGACGAUCCCUAGCUGGUCUGAGAGGAUGACCAGCCACACUGGAACUGAGACACGGUCCAGACUCCUACGGGAGGCAGCAUG